rnacentral:rRNA from 1 species
AACGAACGCUGGCGGCAUGCCUAACACAUGCCAGUCGAACGAGACCUUCGGGUCUAGUGGCGCACGGGUGCGUAACGCGUGGGAACCUGCCCUUAGGUUCGGAAUAACUCCCCGAAAGGGGUGCUAAUACCGGAUAAUGUCUUCGGACCAAAGAUUUAUCGCCUUUGGAUGGGCCCGCGUUGGAUUAGCUAGUUGGUAGGGUAAAAGCCUACCAAGGCGACGAUCCAUAGCUGGUCUGAGAGGAUGAUCAGCCACACUGGGACUGAGACACGGCCCAGACUCCUAGGGGGGGAGGAGGGGGGGAAUAUUGAAAAAGGGGAGAAGGCCGAACCAAGAAAUGCCGGGGGAGUAAUAAGGGCCUGGGGGUUAAAAAGCUUUUUUCCCGGGGAGAAAAAGAAAAGACCGGGGAGAAAAAGCCCCGCAAAACCCGGUC